GUAGGGAAUCUUCCGCAAUGGACGAAAGUCUGACGGAGCAACGCCGCGUGAGUGAAGAAGGUUUUCGGAUCGUAAAACUCUGUUGUGAGGGAAGAACAAGUACCAAGUAACUACUGGUACCUUGACGGUACCUCACCAGAAAGCCACGGCUAACUACGUGCCAGCAGCCGCGGUAAUACGUAGGUGGCAAGCGUUGUCCGGAAUUAUUGGGCGUAAAGCGCGCGCAGGCGGUCCUUUAAGUCUGAUGUGAAAGCCCACGGCUCAACCGUGGAGGGUCAUUGGAAACUGGGGGACUUGAGUGCAGAAGAGGAAAGUGGAAUUCCACGUGUAGCGGUGAAAUGCGUAGAGAUGUGGAGGAACACCAGUGGCGAAGGCGACUUUCUGGUCUGUAACUGACGCUGAGGCGCGAAAGCGUGGGGAGCAA
rnacentral:rRNA from 1 species